GGCUUAGGAUGAACGCUAGCGACAGGCCUAACACAUGCAAGUCGAGGGGCAGCACAAGGAGCAAUCUGAGGUGGCGACCGGCGCACGGGUGAGUAACACGUAUGCAACCUGCCUGUAAGCGGGGAAUAACCCGUUGAAAGACGGACUAAUACCGCAUAAUACUAAAUUACUGCAUGGUAAUUUAUUUAAACAUUUAUGGCUUACAGAUGGGCAUGCGCAUGAUUAGCUAGUUGGAGAGGUAACGGCUCCCCAAGGCAACGAUCAUUAGGGGUUCUGAGAGGAAGGUCCCCCACACUGGUACUGAGACACGGACCAGACUCCUACGGGAGGCAGCAGUGAGGAAUGUUGGUCAAUGGACGAGAGUCUGAACCAGCCAAGUCGCGUGCAGGAAGAAUGUCCUUAAUGGAUUGUAAACUGCUUUUGCAGGGGAAUAAAGUGCAUCACGUGUGAUGUUUUGUAUGUACUCUGCGAAUAAGGAUCGGCUAACUCCGUGCCAGCAGCUGC
rnacentral:rRNA from 1 species